CUGCUUUUUCUUUCUUUUACAUAUAUCUUUUGGUUUUAAAUUCUAGUGUUUAUAUUUAUUUACCAGGCAUAGAUGUAUUUUGUCACCUGUCUGGAUUUUUUAGUUGAUAGCCAAAACCGGGAUUACCCUUAUCCGCUUCCGGAAUCGGAUCCGAUAUUGUAAUCUCGCGGCAGCCAUUUUGUUUUCAAUGUUGUUUUUGACAGAUAGUGAGAUACGAUUUUACUCGGAUUUACACAUUAUUUAUCGGCGAUUUUCUGUAUAAAGCUAGCGGUUGAACAAAUUGAACAUCGCUGUCAUGAAUGGUAAUGAUGAAAAUAAGUUUGAGAUCGUUUAUUAGGAAACUUCGGUAAAAAUGUUUGCAAAGUUAUUUUUUUUAUUUUCUUUCAAGGUCCGUCGGGCGUAGCUAGUAACCAAGUAGAAAGUCCGACUGCAAAAGUGGAAGGUCGCAGACCUCGGACCACCGCUAAUUUGAACCCCUGCGUCCAAAUUGAAAAGAUACGAAAAUUCGUCUUCUAAUUCAAAAUUGCCGCCAACAGCGUGAUCAGUUGAACUUAUAUUAAUAGACUACUGACGUAUAUAUACGUAGUUGACUACGUAUUGACGACAAACAAUAUUCCUACGACUUUUGUAAUUUGGGAAAUCUUAACUACUUGUCUUUAGAGAUUUUCGGCGAUUAAAUAUUUCAUACAUUUGUUCUUUGACAUCUUAGCCAAGAGCUCAGGGGAUAAUAAACUACAUAAGGAUUCCUAAUGUGCUCUACUUCCUAUGUGCAACUUCAAAACUUUUGGGAAAAUCGACGAUCAUUUAAGGUUUUUCUGGUCAUAUUUUUUGUAAUCCAGAAUGAAAAGUAUGAAAAAACUGUCCAAUAAGUUAUAAAUAAUAUAGUAG
rnacentral:lncRNA from 1 species